ensembl:misc_RNA Metazoa_SRP Metazoan signal recognition particle RNA
GCUGGGUGUGGUGGUGCAUACCUGUAAUCCCAACUACUCGGGAGGCUGAGGCAGGAGAAUCGCUUGCACCUGGGAGGUGGAGACUGCAGUGAGCCAAGAUCAUGCCACUGCACUCCAGCCUGGGUGACAGAGUAAGACCCUGUCUCAA